AUUGAACGCUGGCGGCAUGCUUUACACAUGCAAGUCGAACGGUAACAGGCCUUCGUGUGCUGUCGAGUGGCGGCCGGGUGAGUAAUGCAUCGGCACGUGCCCCCUGCUGAUGGAUCACGCAUCACAACCUGUGCUAAUACCUCAUGUGGUCUGAGGUUUAAAACGGCGUGCCACACAGCAAUGUUUGGCCUUGCGCCUUUGUAGCAGCCGAUGUCGGAUUAGGUAGUUGGUUGGGUAAAGGCCUACCAAGCCGACGAUCUGUAGCUGGUCUGAGAGGACGAUCGGCCACACUGGAACUGAGACACGGUCCAGACUCCUACGGGAGGCAGCAGUGGGGAAUGUUGGGCAAUGGGCGAAAGCCUGAUCCAGCAAUGCCGCGUGAGGGAAGAAGGUCUUCGGAUUGUAAACCGCUUUUGUAAGGGACGAAAAGGUGCGGGAGAAUACCUGGGGGUGAUGACGGUACCGUAAGAAUAAGCACCGGCUAACUACGUG
rnacentral:rRNA from 1 species